rnacentral:rRNA from 1 species
GACGAACGCUGGCGGCGUGCUUAACACAUGCAAGUCGAACGGUAAGGCCCUUCGGGGUACACGAGUGGCGAACGGGUGAGUAACACGUGGGUGAUCUGCCCUGCACUUCGGGAUAAGCCUGGGAAACUGGGUCUAAUACCGGAUAGGACUCCUGGCUUCAUGGUUGGGGGUGGAAAGCUUUUGCGGUGUGGGAUGGGCCCGCGGCCUAUCAGCUUGUUGGGGGGGUAAUGGCCUACCAAGGCGACGACGGGUAGCCGGCCUGAGAGGGUGACCUGUCACACUGGGGCUGAGCUACGGCCCAGACUACGACGGGAGGCAGCAGUGGGGAGUAAUGCACAAUGGGCGCAAGCCUGAUGCAGCGACGCCGCGUGAGGGAUGACGGCCUUCGGGUUGCAAACCUCUUUCAGCUAUGACGAAGCGCAAGUGACGGUAGUAGCAGAAGAAGGACCGGCCAACUACGUGCCAGCCGCCGCCGUAA